rnacentral:misc_RNA from 1 species
CGAUGACACGCCACGCGGUUCCCGUUCAAGGGAACCGUAAAAAUCGGUCAGGCUGUUUCCUUGAUCCAGUUCGCCAGAAGAUGAUGCGCGAUGGCGACGGGAUGAGGGCCCGUCAGGCCCUCNNNNNNNNNNNNNUUGGCGAGCAUCGCCACGGCUUCAUCACGGCUGAACCAGCGCGCAUCCUCGAGCUCGGUCUUGUCGACGACGAUGUCGGUGGUGGUGGCGCGGGCGGUGCAGCCGAUCAUCAGCGAUGACGGAUAGGGCCACGGCUGCGUCAUGUAAUAGCGCACGUCGGUGCAGUGGAUGCCGGCCUCUUCGAGAAUCUCGCGCUGCACGGCGUGCUCGAUGGUCUCCGCUGCUUCGACGAAACCGGCAAGGCACGACCACAUGGUCGGCGGAAAUUGCGAUUGGCGUCCCAUCAGGC